UACGAAGGGGGCGAGCGUUGUUCGGAUUUACUGGGCGUAAAGGGCGCGCAGGCGGCCCACCAAGUCAGGCGUGAAAGCCCCGGGCUUAACCUGGGAAUGGCGCUUGGGACUGGUGGGCUUGAGAUCGGGAGAGGAGCGUGGAAUUCCCAGUGUAGAGGUGAAAUUCGUAGAUAUUGGGAAGAACACCGGUGGCGAAGGCGGCGCUCUGGACCGAGACUGACGCUGAGGCGCGAAAGCGUGGGGAGCAAACAGG
rnacentral:rRNA from 1 species